GACGAACGCUGGCGGCGUGCUUAACACAUGCAAGUCGAACGGGUCUGCCCUGUUUUUUGCGGGGUGGGUCAGUGGCGAACGGGUGAGUAACACGUGAGUAACCUGCCCCUCACUUCUGGAUAACCGCUUGAAAGGGUGGCUAAUACGGGGUGUUCUGGCUGUGCUGCAUGGUGUGGCUGGGAAAGAUUCACUUUUGUGGUGUUUUGGUGGGGGAUGGGCUCGCGGCCUAUCAGCUUGUUGGUGGGGUGAUGGCCUGCCAAGGCUUUGACGGGUAGCCGGCCUGAGAGGGUGGGCGGUCACACUGGGACUGAGAUACGGCCCAGACUCCUGCGGGAGGCAGCAGUGGGGGGUAUUGCACAAUGGGCGGAAGCCUGAUGCAGCGACGUCGCGUGAGGGAUGGAGGCCUUCGGGUUGUGAACCUCUUUCGCCGGUGAAGAAGGUCCUGCUCUUUGUGGUGGGGUUGACGGUAGCCGGGUUAUGAAGCGCCGGCUAACUACGUG
rnacentral:rRNA from 1 species